UUCCCAUCCCAUUUUUCCCCAUUCCAGCCCCCUUUUCUCCCAUUUUACCCAGUUCCAUUCCAUUUACCCCCAUUCCAGUUCCAUUCCCCACCUCCAUCUCCUUUUUCUCCCAUUUUACCCAAUCCCAGCCCCAUUUCCCCCCAUUCCAGCCCCAUUUUCCCUUUACCAGCUAUUUCCCCCACAUUUCCCCAAUCCCAUCCCCUUUUUCUCUCAUUUCUCCCAUUCCCAUUCCAUUUUCCCCAUUCCAGCUCCAUUUCCCCCACACCCUCCCCAAUCCCAGCCCCUUUUUCUCCCAUUUUACCCAACCCCAUCCCGUUUUUCCCCCAUCCCAGAGGAUGGAUUGGGUGUUGGAUGUGGAAUUUUGGGACAGCCCUGGCAGUGAUGAGCUCUGCAGAGAAGAGAGGCAUUGGCCAGUGACAUCCCUGGGUGCCACCUGGCAGAGGAAGGGCUGGGACGGUGCAGGACACAGAGCAAAGGUGUUCUGAUGGCAUUGGGGACACACCCUACACCCUCUUCCUGUGAUUUUUAGGGGACUCCGAGGCCCAUCCAUGUCCUUUGGGACACUACUGCUUUGGGAGCAAUGGCAGUGAGCAGAGCAGUGUCCUGGCUCCUCGGGAGUGCCCUCCACAGACCUUCCGUGGGCACCCGGGAGCGCGGAGCCUGGCGGAGUGCCAGCCCUGCCCGCCGGGCUUCCACUGUCCCCUGCCGGGCCUGACCAGCUUUGAGGAUUAUCCCUGUCCCCCUGGCUACUGGUGCCCUGGCAAAGGGGACACUUUCCUCUGUCCAGCUGGCACUUCCAGGAUCCAACCUGGUGCAAAAUCCUUGGAAGAGUGUGAUCCCUGUUCUCCUGGAUAUUACUGCCCAGAUCCAGCCCAGACAGGGCUCCCCAACACCCAGGGAAUACCUUGCAAACCUGGCUAUGAGUGCCCAGCAGGGUCAGUAAAUCCCAAGCCCUGCAGGCCUGGCUCUUACUGUGGUGCUGUGACAGGAGAGCCUCCCCUGUGUCCUGCUGGCUACCACUGUCCCGAGGGAUCCUGGACCUACACCAGCCCCGAGCAGCUGUG
rnacentral:lncRNA from 1 species